CUUCAGAAUACCCGUCCACUGUGGAGCCACAAUACUGCCGUGGUCCGCAGUCCGCAGUGAAGCCGUCUUUGCAUAUUUAUAGAACAAGCCAACAUUGGUUAGGAAUUUUGUCCCCAGCCAGCAGUGGUUAGGCAUUUCAGCACAUGAAUGAUUGCCCGUAUAACCGAUCGGGACGAUUUUUUUCCCAAGCCUCCGCUCCAGCGCCAAAAAAAUAUACCCAGCACAACUAGUUCGACUCCACAAAUUUGCCAGCAGAACCAUUCGGGAGGAAUUUCUCCCAGCAACCGAGGGGUCUAACAUCCAGACAGCAAAAAUACGGGCUGCGGAACAGAUCCUUUUUGUGCCCUUGAUGGUAGCUGCUUAAAACGAGCCUUGCUCAGAAUGCUAUCAAGACCUGCAAUCCUUAAAAUAGACAACUUUCAGAAUGUGUUUAUUUUUACCAUGGAACAGGUAUUUGUAUAAUAUAUUAUUCAGUUUAUACCAGAGGAUCAAAUUUCAAUUCAAGUCUUUCCGUUUCCAGCACGAACCAUAUAUGUGUCAUAUUAUAUGUGGUUUAAAACAUAAUUUAGCCCUUUUCCUUGUCUUGAAUAACAUAUAUUUUUUUAUUUGUAAUAUUUACACAAGAUAAUAUCUACGAGAUAAUUUAUGGAAUAAUGCAAAAUAAGCAUACGAUCAUUUUAUGUUACGCUUACUCAACAGACAUAAUUAUUUUGACAAGGCUAAGUAGGGUACACUAUACUUGCUGAAUUAUGUAGGAAUAUCGAAAUUAACCUAAUUGGGAUAGGCAGGCAGGUAGGAAUCAUUUUUAUAGGGCUUGGCUUAAACUCUUUUAGAAGGGCGUAUCAGCUUACCCAUGAUGCAUUGCUUGCGGGCGUGUCAGCCUACCCAUGAUGCAUUGCUUGCGGGCGUGUCAGCCUACCCAUGAUGCGUUGUUAGCGGGCGUGUCAGCCUACCCAUGAUGCAUUGCUUAAGGGCGUGUCAGCUUACCCAUGAUGCGUUGUUAGCGGGCGUGUCAGCUUACCCAUGAUGCAUUGCUUGCGGGCGUGUCAGCCUACCCAUGAUGCAUUGUUAGCGGGCGUGUCAGCCUACCCAUGAUGCGUUGUUAGCGGGCGUGUCAGCCUACCCAUGAUGCAUUGCUUGAGGGCGUGUCAGCCUACCCAUGAUGCGUUGUUAGCGGGCGUGUCAGCCUACCCAUGAUUCAAUAGCCAAAUUUAAAUGGUUUAAUUUUUGUGGUUAUACACUUAUUUUUUAAAUGAUUUCCGAACACGUCUAUUAACGCGCAGUGGCUAAUGGGUAAAAACACAAUGCAUCAAUGCAUGCUGGGAAAGGUGAGUUGCCAUUUUUCUUAUCAAAAUCAAAGUUCAACAUGAUCCUAUUUUUUGCCAUAUUAUAUUAUAAGGAUUACAUGUGCAUCAUUUAGCGAUUCUAGCAAGCCCAAGACUAGAAAGAAAUUCCUCUUUAUCUCCC